CAAAGCAGGUUCAAUAAAACUCUGAGUCUAACCCUGAACUCUAGUUGAUCUACUCUGAGAUAGGAAACUCUGUGUUUUCGGUUCCACAACAGCUGAUUUGAGUUAGUUAAAUCAACUUGGAGUAGUUUCACCUGGGGUUAAGUGCGUGCACCACAACUUUAAAAAGACAGCAUCAAUGGAACCCCGAUUCGACGAGUCACCAUGGCAAAGGAGAAGAAGAGGGCGGCAUUUUUCACCCCACUGGAACUGGACAUCCUUAUUCGCUCAUAUGGCGAGUUUGAGCAUGUUUUUUUUUUUAAAAAGCAACACCGCUGUAGGUGCCAAACAGAGGGAGACGGCAUGGGAGAACAUUGCGGCUCGGGUCAAUGCAGGGGGAAACUGCUUGAAUGGUAGCCUAUUAAUUUAUUUCAUUUAGGUGCAAUCACGCGGGGGAGAAGCACACCUGGCUGCAGCUUAAGAUGGAAAUAUAAAAACAAUGUUCAAACAGACUCAGCCAACAUAAAGAAAGCAGAUGCCCGUAAAACGGGUGGCGGCCGAGCACCGCCACCUCUAACUGAGGCAGAGGCGCUGGCCCUGAGCCAGAAUUUUGGAAGGCCAGCGACACCCCCCAAGACACAAGUGCCUUUAUAACAUAUUCUGAUGGUGCUAUCUGCCUGGUGGAGCCCCCUCACGCCACAACAGACCUUGUAACUGAUGAAGAGUACGAGGAGACUUUGUCUGCUGCCUUCACAGAGUGGGAACCAGAAAGGCCUAGAGGGCAUGGCUGGGAAGCAGCAGGAGGGUCCCUCAACUUCAACUGCACAGAUUGACACAGUGAGAUGGAUGUUCAGUAAACACCAGAGGUUCAUUCUGUGGAAUUCAUGUGCAACUGUAUAAUUUAAUGUCCUCCUUAUGUAUUACCAGUUAAAGAUAUCUAUAAAAUAUUUCUGCUGAAAUAAAUUGAAAAAACCGACAAAGAAAUGCAGUUCUUGGACCGCCAGAUGAGAAGGGCAGAUCUCGAAAUUGAAUUACUAGAGCACAAGUUAGAGGAAAUAAAGAAGACCAAAUGAAA